UAUAAAGUAAAACCUGCCCAAUGAUUAUUUUAAUGGCCGCAGUAUAUUGACUGUGCAAAGGUAGCAUAAUAAUUAGUUUAUUAAUUGUAAGCUUGAAUGAAAGGUUAAAUGAAAUAUCAACUGUCUCUUAAUAAUUAAUUUUAACUUUAUUUUUAAGUAAAAAAGCUUAAAUUUAAUAAAAAGACGAGAAGACCCUAUAGAGUUUUAUAAAUCUUUUGAUUAAAACAUUAUUGUAAGAUUAAAUUUUUAUUUAAAGCUUUAUUUUAUUGGGGUGAUAGAAAAAUUAAAUAAACUUUAUAGAUUUUUUACAAUUAUUAUUGAAAAAUUGAUCCUAAAAUUUAGAUUAGAAGAUUAAAUUACCUUAGGGAUAACAGCGUAAUUUUUCUUGAGAGCUCUAAUCAAUAGAAUAGAUUGCGACCUCGAUGUUGGAUUAAAGUAAAUUUUAAGUGCAAAAGCUUAAUAAUUAAGUCUGUUCGACUUUUAAAACUUUACA
rnacentral:rRNA from 1 species